rnacentral:rRNA from 1 species
GACGAACGCUGGCGGCGUGCCUAAUACAUGCAAGUUGAGCGCUGAAGGUUGGUACUUGUACCAACUGGAUGAGCAGCGAACGGGUGAGUAACGCGUGGGGAAUCUGCCUUUGAGCGGGGUACAACAUUUGGAAACGAAUGCUAAUACCGCAUAAAAACUUUCAACACAAGUUUUAAGUUUGAAAGAUGCAAUUGCAUCACUCAAAGAUGAUCCUGCGUUGUUUUAGGUAGUUGGUGAGGUAAAGGCUCACCAAGGCGAUGCUACAUAGCCGACCUGAGAGGGCGGUCAGCCGCAUUGGGACUGUGACCCGCCCCAAACUCCUUCGGGAGGCAGCCGUAGGGCAUCGUCGGCAAGGGGCGAAAGUCUGACCGAGCAACGCCGCGUGAGUGAAGAAGGUUUUCGGAUCGUAAAACUCUGUUGGUAGGGAAGAACGUUGGUGAGAGUGGAAAGCUCAUCAAGUGACGGUAACUACCCAGAAAGGGACGGCUAACUACGUG